GAUGAACGCUGGCGGCGUGCCUAACACAUGCAAGUCGAACGGACAUUUUUGGAAAGUUCUUCGGAACUGGAAUCUAAAUGUUAGUGGCGGACGGGUGAGUAACGCGUGAGCAAUCUGCCUUUCAGAGGGGGACAACAGCUGGAAACGGCUGCUAAGACCGCAUAGGCGCGGACGGGACAUCCCGUCCACGUUAAACGUCCUUUAGGGGACGGCUGAAGGAUGGGCCUGUGGCGCAUUAGCUUGUUGGCGGGGCAACGGCCCACCAAGGCGACGAUGCGUAGCCGGCCUGAGAGGGCGGACGGCCACACUGGGACUGAGACACGGCCCAG
rnacentral:rRNA from 1 species